rnacentral:rRNA from 1 species
CCUACGGGAGGCAGCAGUGAGGAAUAUUGGUCAAUGGGCGGGAGCCUGAACCAGCCAAGUCGCGUGAGGGAAGACGGUCCUAUGGAUUGUAAACCUCUUUAGGCGGGGAGCAAUGCCGGGCACGCGUGCCCGGAGGGAGAGUACCCGCAGAAUAAGCCUCGGCUAACUCCGUGCCAGCAGCCGCGGUAAUACGGAGGAUGCGAGCGUUAUCCGGAUUUAGUGGGUUUAAAGGGUGCGUAGGCGGCCUUUUAAGUCAGCGGUAAAAUGUCCGGGCUCAACCCGGGCCGGCCGUUGAAACUGGGGAUCUUGAGUGGGCGAGAGGCAUGCGGAAUGCGUGGUGUAGCGGUGAAAUGCAUAGAUAUCACGAAGAACUCCGAUUGCGAAGGCAGCAUACCGGCGCCCGACUGACGCUGAGGCACGAAAGCGUGGGGAUCGAACAGGAUUAGAUACCCGGGUAGUC